CGGGUGAGUAACACGUGGGCAACCUGCCUGUAAGACUGGGAUAACUUCGGGAAACCGGAGCUAAUACCGGAUAAUACUUUGGAAUGCAUGUUCUAAAGUUGAAAGGCGGCUUUUAGCUGUCACUUACAGAUGGGCCCGCGGCGCAUUAGCUAGUUGGUGGGGUAACGGCCUACCAAGGCCACGAUGCGUAGCCGACCUGAGAGGGUGAUCGGCCACACUGGGACUGAGACACGGCCCAGACUCCUACGGGAGGCAGCAGUAGGGAAUCUUCCGCAAUGGACGAAAGUCUGACGGAGCAACGCCGCGUGAGCGAUGAAGGUCUUCGGAUCGUAAAGCUCUGUUGUUAGGGAAGAACAAGUACGAGAGUAACUGCUCGUACCUUGACGGUACCUAACCAGAAAGCCACGGCUAACUACGUGCCAGCAGCCGCGGUAAUACGUAAGUGGCAAGCGUUGUCCGGAAUUAUUGGGCGUAAAGCGCGCGCAGGCGGGUUCUUAAGUCUGAUGUGAAAGCCCACGGCUCAACCGUGGGAAGGGCAUUGGAAACUGGGGAGACUUGAGAUGCACAACAGAGAGAGAGUGAAUUCCACGCUGUUAAC
rnacentral:rRNA from 1 species